ACACAUGCAAGUCGAGCGGGCAAGGUUGCUUCGGUAACUGAGCUAGCGGCGGACGGGUGAGUAAUGCUUAGGAAUCUGCCUAUUAGUGGGGGACAACAUUCCGAAAGGGAUGCUAAUACCGCAUACGUCCUACGGGAGAAAGCAGGGGCUCUUUAUGACCUUGCGCUAAUAGAUGAGCCUAAGUCGGAUUAGCUAGUUGGUGGGGUAAAGGCCUACCAAGGCGACGAUCUGUAGCGGGUCUGAGAGGAUGAUCCGCCACACUGGGACUGAGACACGGCCCAGACUCCUACGGGAGGCAGCAGUGGGGAAUAUUGGACAAUGGGGGGAACCCUGAUCCAGCCAUGCCGCGUGUGUGAAGAAGGCCUUUUGGUUGUAAAGCACUUUAAGUGGGGAGGAGGCUUACCUGGUUAAUACCUGGGCUAAGUGGACGUUACCCACAGAAUAAGCACCGGCUAACUCUGUGCCAGCAGCCGCGGUAAUACAGAGGGUGCGAGCGUUAAUCGGAUUUACUGGGCGUAAAGCGCGCGUAGGUGGUUAAUUAAGUCAAAUGUGAAAUCCCCGAGCUUAACUUGGGAAUUGCAUUCGAUACUGGUUGGCUAGAGUAUGGGAGAGGAUGGUAGAAUUCCAGGUGUAGCGGUGAAAUGCGUAGAGAUCUGGAGGAAUACCGAUGGCGAAGGCAGCCAUCUGGCCUAAUACUGACACUGAGGUGCGAAAGCAUGGGGAGCAAACAGGAUUAGAUACCCUGGUAGUCCAUGCCGUAAACGAUGUCUACUAGCCGUUGGGGGAUUUGAUCCUUUAGUGGCGCAGCUAACGCGAUAAGU
rnacentral:rRNA from 1 species